rnacentral:rRNA from 1 species
GAUGAACGCUAGCGGCAGGCCUAAUACAUGCAAGUCGAACGGUGUCUUCGGACAUAGUGGCGCACGGGUGCGUAACACGUAUGCAACCUACCUUACAUUGGGGGAUAGCCUUUCGAAAGGGAGAUUAAUACCGCAUAAGACAGUAGCUGGGCAUCCAGCAGCUGUUAAAGAUUUAUCGAUGUAAGCUGGGCAUGCGUCCAAUUAGCUAGUUGGUGAGGUAACGGCUCACCAAGGCAAUGAUUGGUAGGGGAACUGAGAGGUCAAUCCCCCACACUGGCACUGAGAUACGGGCCAGACUCCUACGGGAGGCAGCAGUAGGGAAUAUUGGGCAAUGGACGCAAGGCUGACCCAGCCAUGCCGCGUGCAGGAUGAAGGCGUUAUGCGUUGUAAACUGCUUUUAUACAGGAAGAAACGACUCUUGCGAGAGGCAUUGACGGUACUGUAUGGAUAAGCACCGGCUAACUCCGUGCCAGCCGCCGCAGUAACAC